rnacentral:rRNA from 1 species
GACGAACGCUGGCGGCGUGCUUAACACAUGCAAGUCGAACGGAAAGGCCCUGCUUUUGUGGGGUGCUCGAGUGGCGAAAGGGUGAGUAACACGUGAGUAACCUGCCCUUGACUUUGGGAUAACUUCAGGAAACUGGGGCUAAUACCGGAUAGGAGCUCCUGCUGCAUGGUGGGGGUUGGAAAGUUUCGGCGGUUGGGGAUGGACUCGCGGCUUAUCAGCUUGUUGGUGGGGUAGUGGCUCACCAAGGCAUUGACGGGUAGCCGGACUGAGAGGGUGACCGGCCACAUUGGGACUGAGAUACGGCCCAGACUCCUACGGGAGGCAGCAGUGGGGAAUAUUGCACAAUGGGCGGAAGCCUGAUGCAGCAACGCCGCGUGCGGGAUGACGGCCUUCGGGUUGUAAACCGCUUUCGCCUGUGACGAAGCGUGAGUGACGGUAAUGGGUAAAGAAGCACCGGCUAACUACGUG